ensembl:snoRNA
UUGCGGGCCUUCCAGCGUGUUUGGGUCUAGGGUGACUCAGUGCAUUCCUGCAGUGCUUGCUAGAAUGUCCUGAAAUGGCUUGAGGCUUUGCCCUGUCCUUCCUUGGAGCACGGUCGGAGACAUUUCAGACAGCU